CUCGCUGCUAAGCUAUCGCCGCUGCCAACCUAUCUAUUGCUGCAAGCUAUCCCUCGCUGCUAAGCUAUCCCUCGCUGCUAAGCUAUCGCCGCUGCCAACCUAUCUAUUGCUGCAAGCUAUCCCUCGCUGCUAAGCUAUCGCUGCCAACCUAUCUAUCGCUGCCAACCUAUCUAUCGCUGCCAAUUUAUCUACCACUGCCAAUCUAUCUAUUGCUGCUAAUCUAUCGCUGCUGUCAAUCUAUCUAUCGCUGCUAAUCUAUCUAUCGCUGCUAAUCUAUCGCCGCUGCCAAUCUAUCCCUCACUGCUAAGCUAUCCCUCGCUGCUAAGCUAUCACUGCCAAUCUAUCGCUGCUAAUCUAUCACUGCUAAUCUAUCGCUGCCAACCUAUCUAUCGCUGCCAAUUUAUCUACCACUGCCAAUCUAUCUAUUGCUGCUAAUCUAUUGCUGCUGCCAAUCUAUCUAUCGCUGCUAAUCUAUUGCUGCUGCUAAUCUAUCUAUCGCUGCUAAUCUAUCGCUGCUAAUCUAUCGCUGCUAAUCUAUCGCUGCUAAUCUAUCGCUGCCAACCUAUCUACCGCGGCGAAUCUAUCUAUCACUAUCAUUACUAGUUCAAAAUAGAACUAGAGCAUAAACACACUAAACUUCUUUUGAUAGGUAAUGAUUUUUGGUAACGCUCAUAGCAUUAUAUCAUCUAUAUAGGGUAAAUCAUGGUCCCAUUUGGUCCCAUUUUAACAAAAUGGGACCAAAUGAGACCAGAAUCAGUAAUUUAUAAGAAGAACAUGACCUGGGACUAGAUUUAUAAUAUAAACAGUGUAAAGUGACUAAUUUAAUAAACACUAUAUGGGACCAGGACUAAGAAAUUUGAUAAUGGGACUGGAGAAAUAUUUAGUCCCAGUCCCAUGCAUGGUCACACGGCCAGUCUAAUAAUGAGGCACUCAGGCCUUAAACACAGAAGAAUCAAUUUGUAAUGUAACAGACAUACUUUGAUUAACAAUUUGGUACUAUUCUAAUUACAGAUUACAAAUUGAUUAAGGAAAGAAAGAGAAAAGA
rnacentral:sRNA from 1 species